AAUGAACGCUGGCGGCAUGCCUAACACAUGCAAGUCGAACGAACAGACGAGGAGCUUGCUCCUCUGACUGUAGCGGCGGACGGGUGAGUCACACGUGGUUGACCUAACUAUACGACUGGGGUGACUUCGGGAGACCGUAGCUAAUGACCGAUAAUAUAUUGACCCGCAUUGUUCAAGAGUUAGAGUCGGUUUUUCGUACGCUUAUAGCUGAAUCCGGGCCGGAUUAGCUAGUUGGUUAGGUAACGGCUUACCAACGCAACGAUGCGUAGCCGACCUGAACGGGUGAUCGCCUACAUGGGAUGUGAGGAACGGCCGAGACUCCUACGGGAGGAAGCAGUAGGGAAUCUUACGCAAUGGGGGAAAGCCGGACAGAGCAACGCCGCGUGAGGGAUGAAGGUCUUCUGAUCGUAAAGCUAUGUUAUCCGGGAAGAAGAAAUGUGUAAUUAACUAUGCUCGUAUUGACGGUACCUAAACAGAAAGCCACGGCUAACUACGUG
rnacentral:rRNA from 1 species